rnacentral:rRNA from 1 species
GAUGAACGCUGGCGGCGUGCCUAAUACAUGCAAGUCGAGCGAACAGACGAGGAGCUUGUUCCUCUGACGUUAGAGUCGGACGGGUGAGUAACACGUGGAUAACCUUCCUAUAAGACUGGGAUAAUUCCGGGAAACGGGAGCUUAUAACGGAUAAUAUAUUGAACAGCAUGGUUCAAUAGUGAAAGACGGUUUUGCUGUCACUUAUAGAAGGAUCCGCGCUGCAGUAGCUAGUUGGUAAGGUAACGGCUUACCAAGGCAACGAUCCGUAGCGGACCUGAGAGGCUGAUCGGCCACACUGGGACUGAGUCACGGUCCAGACUCCUACGGGAGGCAGCGGUGGGGAAUCUUCCACAAUGGGCGCGAACCUGACGGAGCAACGCCGCGUGUGUUCUGAAGGUCUUCGGAUUGUAAAUCUCUGUUAUGAGGGAAGAACAGAUAUGUGAUUACCUAUGCACUUCUUGACGGUACCUAAUCAGAAAGCCACGGCUAACUACGUC